rnacentral:snRNA from 1 species
AGCUUUGCGCAGUGGCAGUACCAUAGCCGAUGAGGUUUAUCCGAGGCGUGGUUAUUGCUAGUUGAAAACUAUACCCCGCGCGGUCGCCCUGAAAUACGGGCGGCUGGCGCAAUUUCUGCAGGCUUCCAAGGGAG